CAGUCGCCACGGUAAUACGAAGGGUGCAAGCGUUAAUCGGAAUUACUGGGCGUAAAGCGUGCGUAGGCGGUUUGUUAAGUCUGUUGUGAAAUCCCCGGGCUCAACCUGGGAAUGGCAAUGGAUACUGGCAAGCUAGAGUGUGUCAGAGGAUGGUGGAAUUCCCGGUGUAGCGGUGAAAUGCGUAGAGAUCGGGAGGAACAUCAGUGGCGAAGGCGGCCAUCUGGGACAACACUGACGCUGAGGCACGAAAGCGUGGGGAGCAAACAGGAUUAGAUACCCGUGUAGUCCCUGUCUCUUAUAA
rnacentral:rRNA from 1 species